UGGGGAAUAUUGGACAAUGGGGGGAACCCUGAUCCAGCCAUGCCGCGUGCGUGAAGAAGGCCUUAUGGUUGUAAAGCACUUUAAGCGAGGAGGAGGGUACUUGUAUUAAUACUACCAGGUACUGGACGUUACUCGCAGAAUAAGCACCGGCUAACUCUGUGCCAGCAGCCGCGGUAAUACAGAGGGUGCGAGCGUUAAUCGGAUUUACUGGGCGUAAAGCGUGCGUAGGCGGCUAAUUGAGUCGGAUGUGAAAUCCCCGAGCUUAACUUGGGAAUUGCAUUCGAUACUGGUUAGCUAGAGUGUGGGAGAGGAUGGUAGAAUUCCAGGUGUAGCGGUGAAAUGCGUAGAGAUCUGGAGGAAUACCGAUGGCGAAGGCAGCCAUCUGGCCUAACACUGACGCUGAGGUACGAAAGCAUGGGGAGCAAACAGG
rnacentral:rRNA from 1 species